rnacentral:pre_miRNA from 1 species
UUGAUCCUGCCAUGAUCUCUGCAGAAACAAACCCUUGUGGAGCUCAUUGCAGGACUGGG